rnacentral:tRNA from 1 species
GGUGAUAUAGCCAAGCAGUAAGGCAAAGGUCUGCAACACCUUUAUCCUCGGUUCGAAUCCGAGUAUCAUCU